rnacentral:rRNA from 1 species
UACAGAGGGUGCAAGCGUUGUUCGGAAUUACUGGGCGUAAAGCGCACGUAGGCGGCUUUCUAAGUCGGGGGUGAAAUCCUGGAGCUCAACUCCAGAACUGCCUUCGAUACUGGAAAGCUCGAGUCCGGGAGAGGUGAGUGGAACUGCGAGUGUAGAGGUGAAAUUCGUAGAUAUUCGCAAGAACACCAGUGGCGAAGGCGGCUCACUGGCCCGGUACUGACGCUGAGGUGCGAAAGCGUGGGGAGCAAACAGG